GGACUACCGGGGUUUCUAAUCCUGUUUGCUCCCCUUGCUCUCGCGCCUCAGCGUCAGGUGCAAGCUAGAGAACCGCUUUCGCCACCGGUGUUCCUCCACAUCUCUACGCAUUUCACCGCUACUUGUGGAAUUCCGUUCUCUCCGCACGCCCUCAUAGCCUUGCAGUAUUAAGUGCAGCGCUGGAGUUGAGCUCCAGCAUUUCACACCUAACUUACAAGGCCGCCUACGCGCCCUUUACGCCCAGUAAAUCCGACUAAUGCUUGCACCCUCCGUAUUACCGCGGCGGCUGGCAC
rnacentral:rRNA from 1 species